GCGCAGCAUCAAGAGUUGGGGCGACGCCCAACGCCAACCUGCCGUCCGGGCAAGGUGGCACUCCCCGUGGGAGGAUGUGGCCGAACCGGCAACGAAACGGAGCGAG
rnacentral:ncRNA from 1 species